UACGGGGGGAGCAAGCGUUGUUCGGAUUUACUGGGCGUAAAGGGCGCGUAGGCGGUCACCUCAAGUCAAUUGUGAAAUCUCCGGGCUUAACUCGGAAAGGUCAACUGAUACUGCGGGGCUAGAGUGCGGAAGGGGCGACUGGAAUUCUCGGUGUAGCGGUGAAAUGCGUAGAUAUCAGGAGGAACACCGGUGGCGAAGGCGGGUCUCUGGGCAGUAACUGACGCUGAGGAGCGAAAGCGUGGGGAGCGAACAGG
rnacentral:rRNA from 1 species